UCUCAAAUUAAUUUAGGUAUUGUAAACUGGCAAAAGAAACUCAAACCAGCAAUUACAUCCCAGGUGACCAGGGGCUGGAGGAGACAGAGACCAAGUGCUCAAGGUUCUGAGUGAAGCCGUUCUGUUGCAGGAGUGCAGAUACAGCCUAAAUGCUUGAACCUUCAUCACUGAGAUAAUCUCAGCUGACGAGUGAAAGUUGUGCAACUUCAGGAUGUGAAAUGGUGAAGGAUUUUACUUCAGCCUGUAUUGUGAUUCUUAAGCAGUUACAGAAAAAUGUUUAUCAAAAAUAGAACAAAAAACUCCAGAAGAAAUAAUCUUGGAACUGGAAAAUCCAGGAGAAAGAUGAGAGGGAUGUUUUCAUGGCUGCCAAGAAAUUGUGAGUGGUUCAAACAGUUAAGACAUUUCUAUCAAGCAUACAGACUAAUUAAAGCAAAAGGACAUAAAGACUAUCCCCAUAGGUGACACAGCUGGUGCAGAGAUUUAUCUCUUUAGAUCAAACUAUGCAUUAUUCGCUGAAGUGUUUGACAAACCUUCCUGUUCUCACAUCUCUGAGACAGCCUUGCUGCAACUAAACAGAAGAUUUUGGUAUUUCAGGUAUUUUUUGCUGGUUUGUCUGGAACAGCAGGCACAUUUUCGAGUCUCUGCCUCAGCUAUGUGGAUAUGGCUUUAUCAGUCUGCAGUAAAGUGCACAUUUAGAAGAAUUCUGGGACACAAUUUUCACAUAAGACAAAGAUUCUGGUGUUUCUCUCACUGGACUGAGGAGAAAUCAUGGUCUCCACAGCUCCAGCCUUCCUGUGAUGCAAUGGUGAAGAAGACCUGAUUCAGAAGUACUUCUGAGUUGAAAGAUGUGGGGAAGAGGAAGGAUUGAAACCAGCUAGUCUCCAAAGGAGGUGGAGCACAGAAGAAAGCCAUGUCCUCAGGGUCCAUAGGAAAGAGCGGAGUGCAAAGUGGUUUAUCUGCCAGGAGACUGAGAACAUGUUACACCUCAUUUUCUGUACCAUGGAGUCGAUUUUGGAGCCAAGAUGAUAAAUGUAGAUAUACACUUGGUUUUUGUAUCAUUGCUUGUUUAUCAGCUUCUGUGAACUGCAUACUGUGAGAGGCCAAGCAAAUGCCUGGGAUUCUGUGAUAAUGCUCUGGCUCUUUGGCCAGUUUUAACCAACCAGUGUAUUGAGGCUUCUGCACUCACUGAUGAAUACUGAGCACUGAUGAAUAUUCAAUUGUAUUGUAUAUAAUCCAAUCCUGGUGAAAUAGAAAACAGUUUUCCCCCCCCCUCACAGUUCAUGUUUGUCAAACAUUCCUGUAUAAGAAUUUUCAUCUUUUUAGUAUUAAGUAAUGAUGAUAAUAGUAUAUUCUCCUCUGAUUAAAUGCAAACCUUCCUAUUUGAUACAAAAGCUUCAUAAAAAGGUACAAGACCAAAAAAAAAAUAAAAUAAAUCUUCAGAUAUGUUAGUAUCUCUGU
rnacentral:lncRNA from 1 species